CUACGUAGGGUGCAGGCGUUAAUCGGAAUUACUGGGCGUAAAGCGUGCGCAGGCGGUUUUGUAAGACAGUGGUGAAAUCCCCGGGCUCAACCUGGGAACUGCCAUUGUGACUGCAAGGCUGGAGUGCGGCAGAGGGGGGUGGAAUUCCGCGUGUAGCAGUGAAAUGCGUAGAUAUGCGGAGGAACACCGAUGGCGAAGGCAAUCCCCUGGGCCUGCACUGACGCUCAUGCACGAAAGCGUGGGGAGCAAACAGGAUUAGAUACCCUGGUAGUCCACGCCCUAAACGAUGUCAACUGGUUGUUGGGGAUUUAUUUUCUCAGUAACGAAGCUAACGCGUGAAGUUGACCGCCUGGGGAGUACGGCCGCAAGGUUAAAACUCAAAUGAAUUGACGGGG
rnacentral:rRNA from 1 species